GAGAGUUCAAGAGUACGUGAAACCGCUUAGUAGUAAACGGAGGGACUCUCGAAGUCGGCGGUGACGGUUCAGGGUGACGGCGGGGCGGCCUGGGGGCGUGGGAUCCGCAAGGACCCUGUCCCUUUGUUGGCUCUGUCGGCGCCUGCACUUCGUUGCCGCCAUACGCGACGAACCGUUUCUGACGGACCGAGGGCGUGGGUGAAGUUUGCGGCCUUCGGGCUUCAAGCCCCGCGUUCCUGGCUCUGUCGGGGACGGGUAGUGGAGCGAUCUCUUAUAGAGAGUGCCCUUGCUGGCACGGUUCGCAUCUCUGUCGCGAGUAGGUCGGCGGUCCCUCCGACCCGUCUUGAAACACGG
rnacentral:rRNA from 1 species